ACGAACGCUGGCGGCAUGCCUAACACAUGCAAGUCGAACGAGACCUUCGGGUCUAGUGGCGCACGGGUGCGUAACGCGUGGGAAUCUGCCUCUCGGUUCGGGAUAACAGUUGGAAACGACUGCUAAUACCGGAUGAUGACUUCGGUCCAAAGAUUUAUCGCCGAGAGAUGAGCCCGCGUAGGAUUAGGUAGUUGGUGGGGUAAAGGCCUACCAAGCCGACGAUCCUUAGCUGGUCUGAGAGGAUGAUCAGCCACACUGGGACUGAGACACGGCCCAGACUCCUACGGGAGGCAGCAGUGGGGAAUAUUGGACAAUGGGCGAAAGCCUGAUCCAGCAAUGCCGCGUGAGUGAUGAAGGCCUUAGGGUUGUAAAGCUCUUUUACCCGGGAUGAUAAUGACAGUACCGGGAGAAUAAGCUCCGGCUAACUCCGU
rnacentral:rRNA from 1 species